GACGAACGCUGGCGGCGUGCUUAACACAUGCAAGUCGAGCGAUGAAGCCCAGCUUGCUGGGUGGAUGGAUGGCGAACGGGUGAGUAACAAAUGAGCAACGUACCCGAAACUCUGGGAUAACUACCGGAAACGGACGCAAGUAAAGAAUGUAUGAAAGCGAGACAUCUACUCUGGAUGGUAAAAUUUUUCGGUUUCGGAUCGCCUCACGGCUUAUCAGCUUGUUGGGGGGGUAAUGGCCUACAAAGGCGACGACGGGUAGCCGGCCUGAGAGGGUGACCGGCCCCACUGGGACUGAGGCACGGCCCAGACGCCUACGGGAGGAAGCAGUGGGAGAUAUUGCACACUGGGCGCAAGCAUGAUGCAGCAACGCCGCGUCAGAGAUGUCUGCCUUCGGGUUGUAACCCUCUUGUAGUAGGGAAGAAGCGCAAGUGACGGUACCUGCAGAAAAAGCACCGGCUAACUACGUG
rnacentral:rRNA from 1 species